GUCUCUGUAAGCCAGUGUCUUACACUUACUGUCUAGUCACAGAACCCUGGGGCGUUAUCUGGGACAGCCUGGUAGCUGAGAGGUCCCUGGGUGUGGUGACAGUGUAGCAAGAAGCAUUUGCCCUUCUUGAGUCUCUCUCCCCCACAGCGCUUCAGCAUGGAAGGCAUCUCCAACAUUCUGCAGAGUGGCAUCCGCCAGACCUUUGGCUCCUCAGGAACUGACAAACAGUAUCUGAACACAGUCAUUCCUUACGAGAAGAAAGCCUCUCCUCCCUCAGUGGAAGACCUGCAGAUGCUGACAAACAUUCUCUUUGCCAUGAAGGAGGAUAAUGAGAAGGUGCCUACUUUGCUAACGGACUACAUUUU
rnacentral:lncRNA from 1 species